rnacentral:rRNA from 1 species
ACGAACGCUGGCGGCGUGCUUAACACAUGCAAGUCGAACGGUGAAGGGGUCUGCUUUUGUGGGCCCUGGAUGAGUGGCGAACGGGUGAGUAACACGUGAGUAACCUGCCCCCUUCUUCUGGAUAACCGCAUGAAAGUGUGGCUAAUACGGGAUAUUCUGGGUCUGUCGCAUGAUGGGUCUGGGAAAGAUUGCGCCUUUGUGUGUUUUUGGUGGUGGAUGGGCUCGCGGCCUAUCAGCUUGUUGGUGGGGUGAUGGCCUACCAAGGCGGUGACGGGUAGCCGGCCUGAGAGGGUGGACGGUCACACUGGGACUGAGACACGGCCCAGACUCCUACGGGAGGCAGCAGUGGGGAAUAUUGCACAAUGGGCGCAAGCCUGAUGCAGCGACGCCGCGUGAGGGAUGGAGGCCUUCGGGUUGUAAACCUCUUUCGCCAGUGAAGCAGGCCUGCUCCUUGUGGGUGGGUUGACGGUAGCUGGAUAAGAAGCGCCGGCUAACUACGUG